rnacentral:miRNA from 1 species
UUCCCCUUCCCCCUUCCCCUACCCCUUCCCCUUUCUCUUCUUCUUCAGGGAGGAUCAUGGAAACACAUUCUAAGUACAUUUCUAUGUUUUGAGGAAACUGGGGUCACAAGAUUUGUGUUCUCAGAGUUUUCUCACAAGCACUCACAAUUUUCCCCAGUGAUUCUAAUUCUUAGAACUUUUCCAAUAGAAGCAGCACUAAUCUCUUUAGGAAAACUUAAAGAAAGUGUG